AUUGAACGCUGGCGGCAGGCUUAACACAUGCAAGUCGAGCGAGCGGCGGAGGGGUGAGUAAUGUCUGGGACACUGCCGGAUGGAAGGGGAUAACUACUGGAAACGGUAGCUAAUACCGCAUACCAUCAGAUGUGCCCAGAUGGGAUUAGCUAGUAGGUGGGGUAAUGGUUCACCUAGGCGACGAUCCCUAGCUGGUCUGAGAGGAUGACCCGCCACACUGGAACUGAGACACGGUCCAGACUCCUACGGGAGGCAGCAGUGGGGAAUAUUGCACAAUGGGCGGAAGCCUGAUUCAGCUAUUCCGCGUGAGUGAAGAAGGCCUUCGGAUUGUAAAGCACUUUCAGCGGGGUGGGGUUACUGACAGAAGAAGCACCGGCUAACUCCGUGCCAGCAGCCGCGGUAAUAC
rnacentral:rRNA from 1 species